AUGGAGGUCAACGCUGAUGACUUCUUCAAGGCAGCCAACCUCGACAAGCCUAGGGUGACCAACAAGGUUGGAUCCAACGUCACUUUGAUCAACGUCAUGCAGAUUGCUGGACUCAACACCCUCGGCAUCUCAAUUGCGCGCAUCGACUAUGCUCCCUUGGGUCAGAACCCACCACAUACGCACCCUCGUGCCACUGAGAUCCUCACGGUGCUCGAGGGGACACUCUAUGUUGGCUUUGGCACAUCCAACCAGCCCGCCCCCAACAGAAACAAGUUCCUCUCCAAGGUGCUCCACAAAGGUGAUGUGUUUGUCUUCCCCGUGGGACUCUUCCACUUCCAAUUCAACCCCAACCCCCACCAGCCCGCUGUUGCAAUUGCCGCGCUCAGCAGCCAGAACCCAGGGGCUAUCACAAUUGCCAAUGCGGUGUUUGGGUCGGACCCACCAAUAUCAGAUGAUGUUCUUGCCGAGGCAUUUCAGGUGGAAAAGAAUACAAUAGACUAUCUGCAGGCUCAAUUUUGGGAGAACAACCACAACUAA
rnacentral:rRNA from 1 species